rnacentral:rRNA from 1 species
UUCGGAUUGUAGGCUGCAACUCGCCUACAUGAAGUCGGAAUUGCUAGUAAUCGCGGAUCAGCAUGCCGCGGUGAAUACGUUCCCGGGCCUUGUACACACCGCCCGUCACACCAUGGGAGUCGGUAACACCCGAAGCCUGUAGUCUAACCGCAAGGAGGACGCAGUCGAAGGUGGGAUUGAUGACUGGGGUGAAGUCGUAACAAGGUAAC